AGCAAGAUCUCCUGAUGGGUUGUAGAAGAUUUUGGUCGGGGGUGAUAGGCUAACAGAAGGUAACAGCCGAAAUGUCCAAUGGGCUUUGCGGAUGGGGAGACGGAGGAAGACCGCCUGGAAGGUUUAGUUUUUAAGUUCAAAGACUGGCAUGCUAUCAGGAAUCUUUUUGAGAUUUAUCAUCAAAUCUUCUUUUAUGACAAUUCAGCCAAAGACCAUGGAACACUACUUCGCAAAUAUGCAUCUGUUGAGAUGACGACCAACAGAGGAUCUUUGACGACAAACAGAGGAUCUUUGCCAACCAUGAAGUUUGCUUAGAUGUAUGAACUGAUUUCAUGUUUUCUUGACUGCAGUGCCAGCCUGAAUUUGUUGCUUCACUUCGGGGGCUGUAAGGGCAGUGCCAGCCUGAAUUGGUUGCUUCACACCGGGGGGCUGUAAGGGCAGUGCCAGCAUGAAUUGGUUGCUUCACAUCGGGGCUGUAAGGGCAGUGCCAGCAUGAAUUGGUUGCUUCACAUUGGGGGCUGUAAGGGCAGUGCCAGCAUGAAUUGGCUGCUCUAUAACUUGUACUGCUAACAACACAGCCGCCGACAUAAAUUUAUCAAAAUAUGAAUUUGUUUUACUUUACAUUUUUUAUAUGCUAAUCUGUACUUUGAAUUACAGGUGCAGCAAGGUCCACAUUCGGCGUACAAUGCACACAAACAGUUUGUUGAAUUGGAGAUGACAGCACUUUUCCUGAAUGCAGCAUUUCCACUUGGAGGCAAAAUAAGAAUUUGAUUUAAUUAGCAAACAUUUUUAUAUGCUAAUAUGUACUUUGACUUACAGGUGCAGCAAUGCAAAACAAGGUCCACAUUCGGCGUACAAUGCAUACAAAAAGUUUGUUGAAUUGGAGACGACAGCACUUUUCCUAACUGCAGCAAUGGAGCAUUUCCACUUGGAGGCACCAGGGCCGUGCACAGGGGGGUGGCCCGGUGGCUAGAGCAACUGCCCCUCUGCCCUAAUCAGCUGAGGUGCCCCUCUCACCAACCCGGGUCAAAGUGUUCUGUUACCGCUAGUCUAAAGAUCCACCUUUUCUGGUAAUCCACUUCGUGAUUUCCCGCCCGCUACGCAGCAUCUCUCACAAUCUGUGUCCACUCUUUGAAGGGCGGAGACGACAGUUUGUUGUAUUAGGUAGAUUCAUUACAUUACCUCAGUUGUUAAGCUGCUCAAUUAGUAAUUUGGUAGUUUGAAGCCGAGAGAAGUCGUGUACUAUAUUUAUUUUUGCUUG